rnacentral:rRNA from 2 species
GGACCAAGGAGUCUAGCAUGUGCGCGAGUCAUUGGGACUCUAACGAAACCUAAAGGCGUAAUGAAAGUGAAGGCUCGCCUAGCGCGGGCCGAGGGAGGAUGGGUGUCCCCGAGGGGACGCCUCGCACUCCCAGGGCGUCUCGUUCUCAUCGCGAGAAGAGGCGCACCAAGAGCGUACACGCUGGGACCCGAAAGAUGGUGAACUAUGCCUGGUCAGGACGAAGUCAGGGGAAACCCUGAUGGAGGUCCGUAGCGAUUCUGACGUGCAAAUCGAUCGUCGGAACUGGGUAUAGGGGCGAAAGACUAAUCGAACCAUCUAGUAGCUGGUUCCCUCCGAAGUUUCCCUCAGGAUAGCUGGCGCUCGCUUCUCGCGAGUCUCAUUCGGUAAAGCGAAUGAUUAGAGGCAUUGGGGUCGAAACGGCCUCAACCUAUUCUCAAACUUUAAAUGGGUGAGAUCUCCGGCUUGCUUGAACUGUGAAGCCGCGAGAUAUCGGAUCAGAGUGCCAAGUGGGCCACUUUUGGUAAGCAGAACUGGCGCUGUGGGAUGAACCAAACGCUGAGUUAAAGCGCCUAAAUCGACGCUUAUGGGAUACCAUGAAAGGCGUUGGUAACUUAAGACAGCAGGACGGUGGCCAUGGAAGUCGGA